rnacentral:sRNA from 1 species
AGAGCAGGCUGGCCUCGAACUCACAGAGAGCUGCCUGCCUCUGCCUCCCUGAGUGCUGGGAUUACAGGGGUGCACCACCACACCUGGU